rnacentral:rRNA from 1 species
GACGAACGCUGGCGGCGUGCCUAAUACAUGCAAGUCGAGCGGAUCUUUGGGAGCUUGCUCCCAAAGAUUAGCGGCGGACGGGUGAGCAACACGUGGGCAACCUGCCUAUAAGACUGGGAUAACUUCGGGAAACCGGAGCUAAUACCGGAUAAUUCAUAUCUACUCAUGUAGGUAUGCUGAAAGACGGUUUACGCUGUCACUUAUAGAUGUGCCCGCGGCGCAUUAGCUAGUUGGUGAGGUAACGGCUCACCAAGGCAACGAUGCGUAGGCGACCUGAGAGGGUGAUCGGCCACACUGGGACUGAGACACGGCCCAGACUCCUACGGGAGGCAGCAGUAGGGAAUCUUCCGCAAUGGACGAAAGUCUGACGGAGCAACGCCGCGUGAGUGAUGAAGGUUUUCGGAUCGUAAAACUCUGUUGUUAGGGAAGAACAAGUACUAGAGUAACUGCUAGUACCUUGACGGUACCUAACCAGAAAGCCACGGCUAACUACGUGCCAGCCGCCGCCGUAAGAC